rnacentral:rRNA from 1 species
AUUGAACGCUGGCGGCAGGCCUAACACAUGCAAGUCGAACGAGUGGCGUACGGGUGAGUAAUGUCUGGGAAACUGCCUGAUGGAGGGGGAUAACUACUGGAAACGGUAGCUAAUACCGCAUACCAUCGGAUGUGCCCAGAUGGGAUUAGCUAGGGGGUGGGGUAAAGGCUCACCUAGGAGACGAUCCCUAUCUGGUCUGAGAGGAUGAGCAGACACACUGGAACUGAGACACGGUCCAGACUCCUACGGGAGGCAGCAGUGGGGAAUAUUGAACAAUGGGCGAAAGCCUGAUGCAGCCAUGCCGCGUGUAUGAAGAAGGCCUUCGGGUUGUAAAGUACUUUCAGCGGGGAGGCGUUACCCGCAGAAGAAGCACCGGCUAACUCCGUGCCAGCAGCCGCGGUAAUUC